ACUUAACACAUGCAAGUCGAACGAGGAGCGUCGGUGUAGCAAUACAUCGGUGCUUCUAGUGGCGCACGGGUGAGUAACACGUGGGCAACCUGCCCUUGAGCCCGGGAUACCCUCUCGAAAGGGAGGCUAAUACCGGAUACGUUCCUCGGAUCGCAAGGUCUGGGGAGGAAAGGUGGCGAAAGCUACCACUCUUGGAGGGGCUCGCGGCCUAUCAGCUAGUUGGUGAGGUAAUGGCUCACCAAGGCUAUGACGGGUAGCUGGUCGGAGAGGACGACCAGCCACACGGGAACUGAGACACGGUCCCGACUCCUACGGGAGGCAGCAGUGGGGAAUUUUCCGCAAUGGGCGAAAGCCUGACGGAGUGACGCCGCGUGGGGGACGAAGGCCUUCGGGUCGUAAACCCCUGUCAGAGGGAAAGAAGGGUCGCCGACCUAAUACGUCGGUGAUCUGACGGUACCUUCAGAGGAAGCCCCGGCCAACUCUGUGCCAGCCGCCGCGGUAACAC
rnacentral:rRNA from 1 species